UUGAACGCUGGCGGCAUGCCUUACACAUGCAAGUCGAACGGCAGCACGGGUGCUUGCACCUGGUGGCGAGUGGCGAACGGGUGAGUAAUACAUCGGAACAUGUCCUGUAGUGGGGGAUAGCCCGGCGAAAGCCGGAUUAAUACCGCAUACGAUCCACGGAUGAAAGCGGGGGACCUUCGGGCCUCGCGCUAUAGGGUUGGCCGAUGGCUGAUUAGCUAGUUGGUGGGGUAAAGGCCUACCAAGGCGACGAUCAGUAGCUGGUCUGAGAGGACGACCAGCCACACUGGGACUGAGACACGGCCCAGACUCCUACGGGAGGCAGCAGUGGGGAAUUUUGGACAAUGGGCGAAAGCCUGAUCCAGCAAUGCCGCGUGUGUGAAGAAGGACUUCGGGUUGUAAAGCACUUUUGUCCGGAAAGAAAUCCUUGACUCUAAUACAGUCGGGGGAUGACGGUACCGGAAGAAUAAGCACCGGCUAACUACGUG
rnacentral:rRNA from 1 species